UACGGAGGGUGCGAGCGUUAAUCGGAAUUACUGGGCGUAAAGCGCAUGCAGGCGGCUUGUUAAGCCAGAUGUGAAAGCCCGGGGCUCAACCUCGGAAUAGCAUUUGGAACUGGCAGGCUAGAGUCUUGUAGAGGGGGGUAGAAUUUCAGGUGUAGCGGUGAAAUGCGUAGAGAUCUGAAGGAAUACCGGUGGCGAAGGCGGCCCCCUGGACAAAGACUGACGCUCAGAUGCGAAAGCGUGGGGAGCAAACAGG
rnacentral:rRNA from 1 species